UACGAAGGGGGCUAGCGUUGCUCGGAAUCACUGGGCGUAAAGGGUGCGUAGGCGGGUCUUUUAAGUCAGGGGUGAAAUCCUGGAGCUCAACUCCAGAACUGCCUUUGAUACUGAGGAUCUUGAGUUCGGGAGAGGUGAGUGGAACUGCGAGUGUAGAGGUGAAAUUCGUAGAUAUUCGCAAGAACACCAGUGGCGAAGGCGGCCAACUGGUCCGAUACUGACGCUGAGGUGCGAAAGCGUGGGGAGCAAACAGG
rnacentral:rRNA from 1 species